rnacentral:rRNA from 1 species
UACAGCGGGGGCAAGCGUUGUUCGGAAUUACUGGGCGUAAAGGGCGCGUAGGCGGCCUGUUAAGUCGAACGUGAAAUCCCCGGGCUCAACCCGGGAACUGCGUCCAAUACUGGCAGGCUUGAAUCCGGGAGAGGGAUGCGGAAUUCCAGGUGUAGCGGUGAAAUGCGUAGAUAUCUGGAGGAACACCGGUGGCGAAGGCGGCAUCCUGGACCGGCAUUGACGCUGAGGCGCGAAAGCCAGGGGAGCAAACGGG